GAGGGGAUAGCUCAGUGGUAGAGUGCCUGCUUAGCAUGCAUGAGGUCCUGGGUUCAAUCCCCAGUACCCCCA
rnacentral:tRNA from 1 species